GGAGCUGUUGCUGGAGAAGUAGGAGCAGCAGUAGGAAUAGGACUCUUGGUCCUUGCAGCUCCGUUCACUGGGGGGUUAGUUUAGCAGCAGUAAUAGCAGGAGUGUUAGCAGUAUCAGGAGGAGCAGUAGGAGACACAGCAGCAGGAGGAAGAUGAGCUGUGGUUGUAAAUGCAAUAAAAACAAUGAAAUAGAACAGAAGUAUAAAGAAAGUAGAAGAACAGGGGAAAGAGUUCAUGGAGAUCAUAGAACGGCUGAAGAAUGACCUGGAAGAAAUAAAGACGACGUGUGAGAAGUUGGAGCAAAGAUCAACUGAACUUCAGGCUGGAAUCACUCUGACAGACAUGGAGGACUUCCAGAGGAGUCUGAGACAAGUUUCUGAACUGGCAAAAAGAAGUGAAGAGGUUUAGUCUUUCACUGCAAUACUGAUGAGUUUCAUAAAUGGUCUGUUAUUGCUAAUUGUGAAAGUCUUCAGAGUCACUGCGACCCCUGAAGAGGAGAAAAACUCCAUCAUCCAGUCAGCUGAUCUCUGUCAGCAGGUCGUUGUCAAGUUUGAUCAGAUGAAGAAAAAACUUUGUGUUUGAUCAGAAAACCCUGGACAUUUAUCUAGCAUACUGGACUUUUUCUAAUUGAAUCAGAUGAACAUUAAUACUUUAUGUUAUUAGACCAGG